UACGGGGGGGGUAAGCGUUGUUCGGAAUUACUGGGCGUAAAGGGCUCGUAGGCGGCCAACUAAGUCAUACGUGAAAUCCCUCAGCUUAACUGGGGAACUGCGUGUGAUACUGGAUGGCUUGGAUUUGGGAGAGGGAUGCGGAAUUCCAGGUGUAGCGGUGAAAUGCGCAGAUAUCAGGAGGAACACCGGUGGCGAAGGCGCCACUCUGGGCCGAAACUGACGCUGAGGAGCGAAAGCGUGGGUAGCAAACAGG
rnacentral:rRNA from 1 species